GCCAGACCUGGGCCUUUAAAGGCCCCAGUCUCUUGUGAGCCGGCCUUUUUCUUGGAGGACGUCGCUGGAUCAGACUGUUAAGGGGCCACGUGGAGAGCAAGGUCAAGGGAUGUACAACAUGACCUCAAUGACAGAAGAGUCAUGAGAAUUCAACAAAAUCAUGAGGCCAAGUAUCCUGCUUUGAAAAACAGUAGUUGGUUGUGAAGCCUCAGCAGUGUCAGCUCAAGGCUGGAUCCAACCCCCAUAUUACCAAGGAAAGGAGUGAUACAAAUGAAGAAAAAUUAAGCAUAACUUCACCAAUUAAAAGAGAACUUGGAUUCACAAAGAAAAUGACGAGGGGGAAAUCAGACACCAUCAUAAUGGUUUGAGAGACUGAAAGAACUGGGCCUGUUUAGCCUGGAGAAGAGAAGACUGAGAGGAGAUAUGAUAGCACUCUUCAAGUACAUGAAAGGUUGUCACAUAGAGGAGGGCCGGGAUCUCUUCUCGAUCAUCCCAGAGUGCAGAACACGGAAUAAUGGGCUCAAGUUGCAGGAAGCCAGAUUUCGACUGGACAUCAGGAAAAACGUCCUAAUUGUUAGAGCCAUACGACAAUGGAAUCAAUUACCUAGAGAGGUAUUGGGCUCUCCGACACUGGAGACAUUCAAGAGGCAGCUGGACAGCCAUCUGUUGGGAAUGCUUUGAUUUGGAUUCCUGCAUUGUGCAGGGGGUUGGACUUGAUGGCCUUAUAGGCCCCUUCCAACUCUACUAUUCUAUUAUUCUAUGAUAAGAAGCCGGUAAUCCCCGUGGACAACUCAGCACAAAAUCACAGUUUUCUCUGCAUAAAUCUAAAGACCAACUACAAAGAAAAAAAGAUGUAAAACUUCACAAAGUUAUAGAUACUUUAUACAAAAAAAAGAGGAGACCAUUUUUCUACAGAAAGAGCAUGCAUUUUCUCUGUUGAUGGAAUUACACCUGAGGUCUACAACAUCCAUCCAUACCUUCAGAAACGUUAUUUAAUGGUGGAUCACAAAACCAAUGAUAAUGUGUACCAAACUAUCCCAUAUAUAUAGAAAACCUGUUCACACUUUUUUCUUUUUUGGCUGAGUUCAUCUGCUUGAGUUGCCAGACUUCACAAGUUAAUACUGAUAUUCAAAAUUGAACCAAGAUAUUUUGAUGUGAUCAUUUGUUCACCUGCAACUUGU